UUUCAGGCAUGUAAUCAAGAGUUCCAGGACUCCUUGCUUUACUUUGUGUGAUCCAUAUUGGUUUCCAAGUGCACUACUGAAUAACGCAGUAGACUUCCUACAGGCAUGAUGGAAGAGGGAGGUGGGGAAGAAGAGGCUUCCACUCAUAUUUAAAUAUUCUGUUCCCAUCCCAAUGCAACAUGGGGAUAAUCAUGGAAUGCAGAUGAAAAUGAAGCCUGCUAAAUCUAUCGAAGAAAUGACAUUGAAUGAUCAAUGUACUGUAAUGCAUCUCAGCCCCUGUGCCAGGCAGUGA
rnacentral:lncRNA from 1 species